UUCCAGAGGGAUAUUUUUUCAUAUUCAAUGACAGGCACAUUCCCCAGAACUUCUAAACCUAGGAGGGUGCAACUGAAAAAAAUAUCUACAGCAUUUUCAUUCUUGGCUUGUACAUUUCUAAAA